rnacentral:rRNA from 1 species
CAGUAGCCGCGGGAAUACAUAGGGUGCGAGCGUUAAUCGGAAUUACUGGGCGUAAAGCGUGCGCAGGCGGUUGUGUAAGACAGGUGUGAAAUCCCCGGGCUUAACCUGGGAACUGCGCUUGUGACUGCACAGCUAGAGUAUGGCAGAGGGGGGUGGAAUUCCACGUGUAGCAGUGAAAUGCGUAGGGAUGUGGAGGAACACCGAUGGCGAAGGCAGCCCCCUGGGCCAAUACUGACGCUCAUGCACGAAAGCGUGGGGAGCAAACAGGAUUAGAUACCCCCGUAGUCCCUGUCUCUUAUAC